CAGAUUUGUUAGCGGGCCGGGUCCAUUGGGGCGACGGUUUUAGCUCUAAAUUGAAAAUACCGCGCCGCACAUUUCGAAACGCUCGAAUUCAAAGUUGAAAACGCGGCUGAGACCCGCUUUUACCCGCCUCUGCUUCCACCGGUGGAUCUACAUUUUCAUUCACUCGCUCUCACACUCUCCUUCCACCGCCACCAUUCUCUUCUCACCACACCAAACACCGUGCUCAUCUUCCUCUAACCACCCUCAAACCCACACCAAAUUUUCAAUCCCCUCCAUUUUCCCAGGGUUUCUUCCUGUGGUUGCAUUAGGGUUUCGUUUCAAUUUCAAUUUUCAUCACUUCACCGAUUCAUGAGCAGCGAGGAUAAUUUCAGUGACGGGGUUGUGAAACCACAACCCCGUCCCGUUCUGUCAGACGUCACCAAUCUCCGGGCGAAGAGGCCAUUUUCUUCGAUUUCCGCCGACGACGGGGACUCGCGGUUCACCAAGAAGAAAGUCCAGUCAAAGCUCGGCGUCCAGGCGCAGCAAGGCCGCAGCAACAAGGACAAAGUGGUGGUGUCACAACAAAAGGGGCAAAACCCUUGUUUGGAGUUGCCAUUUUGCGGCGAUGAUUCUCUGGGAAACGUCUCGUCUCAGGAAUCGAACUUGCAGUUGCCGAGUGGUGGUCUAGAGGAGAAGAAUCUGUUGGGGGGAGCUGUUGUUUCUGGGCCAACUGAAGUUCCUGUUGCUGUGUUGGGAGAGAUUGGUCAGGGAAGACCCUUGAAUGAAGGGUUCAUUGAUCGAGGAAUUGAAAGUGGUCAGAGGGACGUUCGUGCUGUUGACAAUUUGGGGUCACCCAAAUGCGGAGGUAGGGCGGUGGAACUUCCGACGAUGUCUGAUUCCUGUGAUUCGAGAUUUCCGGGACUGGAGCGGUGUUCGGUUCUCCAGGGCAAUGCCGGUCCAACUUCGGCUGCUGCUGCUGCUGACCUUCUGAAAAGCUGUACUUGUUCCUUUUGCUCCAAAGCUGCUCAUAUCUGGUCGGAUCUUCAUUACCAAGAUGUCAAGGGUAGAUUAAGUGCUUUGAAGAAGAGUCAGAAAGAUGCAAGCAACGCGGUCCAGAAACUUUCUGAAAUUAAGGAUUCUGUAAUGCCUGACCAACAAAGUAGCUCCGAGUCAUCCAAGUUGGAAUUGGCCCUUAUGCAUCAGUGGAAAUCUCUCUUUGAUUUUAUGGAAAAUACAUUUGCUGAAGAAAGUAGACAGCUUGAAUCAAGCUUUGAAACUCUAAAAGAUUUGAGAGACAACUGCAAGAAUGAUCUGGACUCAACUGACAACACUCAUUUUGACAAUCAUUAGUUCAAAUGCCUUUUAUGAUUCUACUUGGUUCACUCCCAAGAUUGGUUUCGAUGAAUUGAAGCAACAACAAUUCUAGCACUUCCUUAAAUGAUUCAAUAGCUUCAACAGGAACUUCGUUGAGUUAAAUUACUUCAUUGGACGUGUAUGCGUCGUUCCAACUUGAUAGAGAAUGAUCACCGGUUACAGUUGAGGAAUAGGAACAUGGUUGGCUAUAAUUGGUGAGUACUACAAUUUUAUAAGUGACUUACUAAAUUCAGGUGUGCUGCACUUUUUAACUAGCUCAACUACUCAAAUUUAGAUGGAUCAGGAUCCUCUUAUGUUGAGAUUUUAUGUCUAUCUCUCUCUUUACAAGUAUUAAUUAGGUGGAAUCUUUCGAAGAGAGAGAGAGACACAAUGUCUCAUUUGAGAUUAUCAUGUGACAUGAGAGAAUCCUAAUCCAAUUUGGAGUGUGUUGAUUGUAAUUUUUUUAAACGAAAGUCUGUGAUACUCUGAUAGGUACUUGACUACUUGCAUCCCUUUAGGUUAGUUUCUAUUCCUUAGGCUAGUUUGUUAUUAGUUAGAGAGCCAUCUGUCAAUUUGUUACAACUGGAUUAGUUUGUAGCAGUUUAGUGACUUUCCUAUAAGUAGGGAGAAUUGUAAAAGAAGGGUCAUUCUGGAAAAUAGAAUCAGUUGAGUGGGAGAAUCCCAGCCUCUCGAAUGUUAGGGAGUUUGUAGAGUUUGUAGAGUUUGUAAUCAGUACAGUGUUCAUCAAUAAUGGGAGUAAAUUCACUGUUUCAUACAUCUUUACCUUCUCUCUGAUCCUGAUUCUACCAUUCUCUGUAGGUGUCUGUUAAUUGAUAAAUUAGGUCUGAAGAUACAAUUAUUUGUUAACUAAUAAUCAGUCUAGUUAAGUUCAUGUCCUAAAUACUUGUUGUUCAUUUCAGAGAACCUUAUAUAAAUAUAUGGUUUAUUAUAGUUAGAAAUCACGAGCAAUCUGGUUGUAUAAAUAAAUGAACUCAGUCCCCUUGGUUGAAAAUGUGGCCAUAAGCUAUAAGGCCCCUGAAGAAAGUUGUCACGAUUACUCUUUUUUUCUUGGCAUAAUUUCAUUUUUUUCUGUUGAUUCGGACCCGGUUCAAAAACAAGGAUUUUUGUUAACUUGAUACCACACAAAAAUACCAGCUCAAAGACGCUUCUCCAUUUGUGCUUUCAGGCCUUUAGCAUUGGUUUUCAGGUAGUACUCUUCAACUUUCGUCUGGAAAAAGAAACUUGCUGCCAUAUGAAGAAACAUUGUUUAGGGAUUGGCCUGUGGUGAUAUAGGAAUUAAUUAUGAUAAAUAUAGAUUAGAUCAGAGCAAGCAUAGAAGAAACAUUUUAUCUGUUACUUGCUUAAUUGUAUUGUUUUUAUGUCCUUUGAAUUGCCCUUAGAUGUAAGUGUUAGGCUGCUGUGGGGUCUUUUCAAUGCAAGUUCCUUUGAUGAAAGAAGAUCAUUUGUG